UUGAUUGGUGCUUGCAUCAUGAUUUACAUUUGAGUGAGUGGCGAACUGGUGAGUAACACGUGGGAAACCUGCCCAGAAGCGGGGGAUAACACCUGGAAACAGAUGCUAAUACCGCAUAACAACUUGGACCGCAUGGUCCGAGUUUGAAAGAUGGCUUCGGCUAUCACUUUUGGAUGGUCCCGCGGCGUAUUAGCUAGAUGGUGAGGUAACGGCUCACCAUGGCAAUGAUACGUAGCCGACCUGAGAGGGUAAUCGGCCACAUUGGGACUGAGACACGGCCCAAACUCCUACGGGAGGCAGCAGUAGGGAAUCUUCCACAAUGGACGAAAGUCUGAUGGAGCAACGCCGCGUGAGUGAAGAAGGGUUUCGGCUCGUAAAACUCUGUUGUUAAAGAAGAACAUAUCUGAGAGUAACUGUUCAGGUAUUGACGGUAUUUAACCAGAAAGCCACGGCUAACUACGUGCCAGCAGCCGCGGUAAUACGUAGGUGGCAAGCGUUGUCCGGAUUUAUUGGGCGUAAAGCGAGCGCAGGCGGUUUUUUAAGUCUGAUGUGAAAGCCUUCGGCUCAACCGAAGAAGUGCAUCGGAAACUGGGAAACUUGAGUGCAGAAGAGGACAGUGGAACUCCAUGUGUAGCGGUGAAAUGCGUAGAUAUAUGGAAGAACACCAGUGGCGAAGGCGGCUGUCUGGUCUGUAACUGACGCUGAGGCUCGAAAGUAUGGGUAGCAAACAGGAUUAGAUACCCUGGUAGUCCAUACCGUAAACGAUGAAUGCUAAGUGUUGGAGGGUUUCCGCCCUUCAGUGCUGCAGCUAACGCAUUAAGCAUUCCGCCUGGGGAGUACGGCCGCAAGGCUGAAACUCAAAGGAAUUGACGGGGGCCCGCACAAGCGGUGGAGCAUGUGGUUUAAUUCGAAGCUACGCGAAGAACCUUACCAGGUCUUGACAUACUAUGCAAAUCUAAGAGAUUAGACGUUCCCUUAGGGGACAUGGAUACAGGUGGUGCAUGGUUGUCGUCAGCUCGUGUCGUGAGAUGUUGGGUUAAGUCCCGCAACGAGCGCAACCCUUAUUAUCAGUUGCCAGCAUUAAGUUGGGCACUCUGGUGAGACUGCCGGUGACAAACCGGAGGAAGGUGGGGAUGACGUCAAAUCAUCAUGCCCCUUAUGACCUGGGCUACACACGUGCUACAAUGGAUGGUACAACGAGUUGCGAACUCGCGAGAGUAAGCUAAUCUCUUAAAGCCAUUCUCAGUUCGGAUUGUAGGCUGCAACUCGCCUACAUGAAGUCGGAAUCGCUAGUAAUCGCGGAUCAGCAUGCCGCGGUGAAUACGUUCCCGGGCCUUGUACACACCGCCCGUCACACCAUGAGAGUU
rnacentral:rRNA from 1 species